UCCGGCUUAUCACCGGCAGUCCCUCUAGAGUGCCCAACUGAAUGAUGGCAAUUAAUGACAAGGGUUGCGCUCGUUGCGGGACUUAACCCAACAUCUCACGACACGAGCUGACGACAGCCAUGCACCACCUGCACACCGGCCACAAGGGAAACCCCAUCUCUGAGGCGAUCCGGCGCAUGUCAAGCCCAGGUAAGGUUCUUCGCGUUGCAUCGAAUUAAUCCGCAUGCUCCGCCGCUUGUGCGGGCCCCCGCCAAUUCCUUUGAGUUUUAGCCUUGCGGCCGUACUCCCCAGGCGGGGCGCUUAAUGCGUUAGCUACGGCACGGAUCCCGUGGAAGGGAAACCCACACCUAGCGCCCAACGUUUACGGCGUGGACUAC
rnacentral:misc_RNA from 1 species